AACGAACGCUGGCGGCAUGCCUAACACAUGCAAGUCGAACGAGACCUUCGGGUCUAGUGGCGCACGGGUGCGUAACGCGUGGGAACCUGCCCUUAGGUUCGGAAUAACUCCCCGAAAGGGGUGCUAAUACCGGAUAAUGUCUUCGGACCAAAGAUUUAUCGCCUUUGGAUGGGCCCGCGUUGGAUUAGCUAGUUGGUAGGGUAAAAUCCUACCAAGGCGACGAUCCAUAGCUGGUCUGAGAGGAUGAUCAGCCACACUGGGACUGAGACACGGCCCAGACUCCUACGGGAGGCAGCAGUGGGGAAUAUUGGACAAGGGGCGAAAGCCUGAUCCAGCAAGGCCGCGUGAGUGAUGAAGGCCUUAGGGUUGUAAAGCUCUUUUACCCGGGAUGAUAAUGACAGUACCGGGAGAAUAAGCGCCGGCUAACUACGUG
rnacentral:rRNA from 1 species